AUCGCGGGAUCCUUCGCAAUACGCAGUCUGGCCAAGGACAAAUCGAACUGCUGCAUCCUACUCCGCAUGGACAACGUGUCGGCGGUGCAGUACAUCAACCGCCUGGGCGGGGCCAGGUCUCAAGCCCUGACAGAAGCCACGAAAGACAUCUACAAGUUCUGCUUGCACGGAACAUCACGCUACAGGCGGAAUAUCUACCGGGAAUCUCCAACCUGACAGCGGACUGGUUCUCACGUCACUGGCGGGACACCAGCGACUGGACGCUCAACAGAGGGAUAUUCCAAGAACUG